UAGAAGGCAGGCUGGGGCUCGUGCCAGAUGCGCGUUUACACGAGAGCCCUGAAUACUGUAAAUGCACUAUCUGGUACGACAUCUCUCCUGCCGCCUCUCCU
rnacentral:pre_miRNA from 12 species